GAAGGAAAGCGAGAAAGAAAGAGGGGUUGGGGGUUUCUUGUCGCAGGAGAGACGGCACUUGCUCUUGUGUAGCAAAUUGCAAGCGGCAAUCGCCGCUCUCCUGUGACAAGAUACCCUUCAGCUUCUUUCCUACAUUCUUCGCCCUAC